GCCGAGGUGGCUCAGUGGUAGAGCACCUCCUUGGUAAGGAGGUGGUCACGGGUUCGAUUCCCGUCCUCGGCU
rfam:Candidatus Endomicrobium trichonymphae strain CET450 CET450_Contig2234, whole genome shotgun sequence.